rnacentral:rRNA from 1 species
UACAGAGGUCCCAAGCGUUGUUCGGAUUCACUGGGCUUAGAGCGUGUGUAGGCGGAUUCCUAAGUACCUUGUGAAAUCCCACGGCUUAACCGUGGAACUGCUUGGUAUACUGGGUGUCUUGAGCCAACUAGAGGCAGUCGGAACAAACGGUGGAGCGGUGAAAUGCGUAGAUAUCGUUUGGAACGCCAAUGGUGAAAACAGACUGCUGGGGUUGUGCUGACGCUGAGACACGAAAGCCAGGGGAGCGAACGGG